rnacentral:rRNA from 1 species
GUGAACGCUGGCGGUAGGCCUAACACAUGCCAGUCGAACGGCAGCACAGUAAGAGCUUGCCCUUACGGGUGGCGAGUGGCGGACGGGUGAGGAAUACAUCGGAAUCUACUUUUUCGUGGGGGAUAACGUAGGGAAACUUACGCUAAUACCGCAUACGACCUACGGGUGAAAGCAGGGGAUCUUCGGACCUUGCGCGAUUGAAUGAGCCGAUGUCGGAUUAGCUAGUUGGCGGGGUAAAGGCCCACCAAGGCGACGAUCCGUAGCUGGUCUGAGAGGAUGAUCAGCCACACUGGAACUGAGACACGGUCCAGACUCCUACGGGAGGCAGCAGUGGGGAAUAUUGGACAAUGGGCGCAAGCCUGAUCCAGCCAUACCGCGUGGGUGAAGAAGGCCUUCGGGUUGUAAAGCCCUUUUGUUGGGAAAGAAAAGCAGCAGGUUAAUACCCCGCUGUUCUGACGGUACCCAAAGAAUAAGCACCGGCUAACUUCGUG